GCCAGUGUGGCACGGUGGUUUGAGUGUAGGACUACAGCUGUGGAGACCUGGGUUCAACUCCCAGCUCAGUCA